CCUACGGGUGGCAGCAGUGAGGAAUAUUGGUCAAUGGGCGAGAGCCUGAACCAGCCAAGUCGCGUGAGGGAGUACUGCCCUAUGGGUUGUAAACCUCUUUUGUCGGGGAGCAAAAGCCGGACGUGUCCGGCUGUGAGAGUACCCGAAGAAAAAGCAUCGGCAAACUCCGUGCCAGCAGCCGCGGUAAUACGGGGGAUGCGAGCGUUAUCCGGGUUUAUUGGGUUAAAAGGGUUCGCAGGCGGAUUUUUACGUCAGCGGUAAAAUCGUGGGGCUCAACCCCAUCCAGCCGGUGAAACUGGGGAUCUAGAGUGUGCGAGAGGUAUGCGGAAUGCGUGGUGUAGCGGUGAAAUGCAUAGAUAUCACGCAGAACCCCGAUUGCGAAGGCAGCAUACCGGUGCACAACUGACGCUCAGGCACGAAAGCGUGGGUAUCGAACAGGAUUAGAUACCCUUGUAGUC
rnacentral:rRNA from 1 species